rnacentral:snRNA from 1 species
GUGCUCACUUCGGCAGCACAUAUACUAAAAUUGGAACAAUAUGGAGAUUAGCAUGGCCCCUGCCCAAGGAUGACACGCAAAUUCGUGAAGCAUUUCAUGAAAAG